AGUGAACGCUGGCGGUAGGCCUAACACAUGCAAGUCGAACGGCAGCACAGUAAGAGCUUGCUCUUACGGGUGGCGAGUGGCGGACGGGUGAGGAAUACAUCGGAAUCUACUUUUUCGUGGGGGAUAACGUAGGGAAACUUACGCUAAUACCGCAUACGACCUACGGGUGAAAGCAGGGGAUCUUCGGACCUUGCGCGAUUGAAUGACCCGAUGUCGGAUUAGCUAGUUGGCGGGGUAAAGGCGCACCAAGGCGACGAUCCGUAGCUGGUCUGAGAGGAUGAUCAGCCACAUAGUGACUGAAACACGGUCCAUACUCCUAGGGGAGGCAGCGAUGCGUAAGAUAGGACAAUGGGCGCAAGCCUGAUCCAUGCAUACCGCGUGGGUGAAGAAGGCCUUCGGGUUGUAAAGCCCUUUUGUUGUGGAAGAAAAGCAGCAGGUUAAUCCCCCGCUGUUCUGACGGUACCCAAAGAAUAAGCACCGGCUAACUUCGUG
rnacentral:rRNA from 1 species